rnacentral:rRNA from 1 species
UACGAAGGGGGCUAGCGUUGUUCGGAAUUACUGGGCGUAAAGGGCGCGCAGGCGGCUUUGUAAGUUAGGCGUGAAAGGCCUGGGCUUAACCCGGGAACUGCGCUUAAGACUGCGGAGCUUGAGGGUGGGAGGGGAUGGUGGAAUUCCCAGUGUAGAGGUGAAAUUCGUAGAUAUUGGGAAGAACACCAAUGGCGAAGGCGGCCAUCUGGACCACAUCUGACGCUGAGGCGCGAAAGCGUGGGGAGCAAACAGGAUUAGAUACCCUGGUAGUCCACGCUGUAAACGAUGCGUGCUAGACGCCGGGAGGUUACCUUUCGGUGUCGCAGCUAACGCUUUAAGCACGCCGCCUGGGGAGUACGGCCGCAAGGUUA